rnacentral:rRNA from 1 species
GACGAACGCUGGCGGCGUGCCUAAUACAUGCAAGUCGAACGCAGUGGGGACGGGUGAGUAACACGUGGGUAACCUCCCAUCAGAGGGGAUAACACUUGGAAACAGGUGCUAAACCGAUACUGAUGGAUGGACCCGCGGUGCAUUAGCUAGUGGGUGAGGGAACGGCUCACCAAGGCCACGAUGCCUAGACGACGUGAUGGUGGGAGCGGCCACACUGGGACUGAGACACGGCCCAGACUCCUACGGGAGGCAGCAGUAGGGAAUCUUCGGCAAUGGACGAAAGUCUGAUCGAGCAACGCCGCGUGAGUGAAGAAGGUUUUCGGAUCGUAAAACUCUGUUGUGAGAGAAGCGGUAUCUAACCAGAAAGCCACGGCUAACUACGUGCCAGCAGCCGCGGUAAUAC